GGGCGAGUUUCAGAUUCGAUUGCGGGCAAAGAAUAGGAAAAGCAUACCAAAGGCUCGGCUUUGUAAAAACGGAACUUUAAAUUUAAACGCAGAAUAAAAAGAUUCUAAAGUCGUAGCUUUCCGUCCCAACAGGGCGGCAAGCUUGGCUUGCGCAGCUUAAGUUAAGCUGUCCGUCGCCUGCCGUUCACCGUUGGCGGCAAAGCGGUGCUAUUUAAACGGUUAACUUAUUGACGCGGUUUACCGCACGCGUCAAUUCGUAUUUCGCGGUACGCCUUUGCAAAAGCCCGUUCGCCGGCGUUUGCAAAGUAAGCUAAAAGGCGGAAUAAGUAUGUAGAAAGCUUUGCCUGACCCCGUAAGACUAGGGUGCAAGUCCCUACUCGUCCACCA
rnacentral:tmRNA from 1 species